UCUCGCGACGAUGGCGGAAGGGCCACACCUGUUCCCAUACCGAACACAGAAGUAAAGUCUUCCAGCGCCGAAAGUACUUGGUGGGNAACUGCCUGGGAGGAUAGGACGUUGCGGGACU
rnacentral:rRNA from 1 species